UCUCUGAGAGCCCCCUCCCCAGCAGCUCCCACGUGGCCUGUCUUCCGGCAGCUGGCGGGGAGGGGGUGUGAGGAGGGGCUUGGCUGCCUUCCUCCCGCAAAGGCCCGGCUCCCCACCCCCAUGCUGCUGGCUGGGACUGUGUGGGGCGCCCGAGCUGCCCCUCCCGGCAGCACUAGGUAAGGACAGCUGGAGCCAGGCCGGUGGCUGGACGCCGGUGGUCAGACAAGCUGCUGGCAACCAGACGCCGAGACGGGGUCACAGCAGACCCCCGGGGCCAGGUCACUGCUUCACAGAGGGGACGUCCAGGCAGCAGGCUGGGCUCCUUCUGCUGGGAUGCAAUUGUCCUGGGAGUCGGGUGCCAGGUGAUGUGUGGGAUGAGGACAUUGGCCCCAACAGCAGGAAACACGAUGUGGCCCCAGCCUGACACUCCCCAGGGGCCUGAGGGCAUGGAUGCUCACACCAGGUGGGGACCUGGGUAUCUGCCACAGGGGGAUGGGACCAGAGUCCUGGCUUAAGGUGCCCCCAUGGCCAGCAGUCGCUCUGGACACAGUGCCUGUAGGUAGUGCCCCUAGGUCCCACAGGAGCGCCAUACAAUGGCCUCAGGCUGUCCAGAAGAUGGGUUCAGAUGGAGAUACUAAGGACCUGAGCGGGGCGCCCUCUCGUAGCCCUGGGCCCUGAGGGCACUCACACACACAUGUCCCCCCACAGCUCGACAGGAGUAGGGUCUCACAAAGCACCCAGCCCGCAGCCUGGAGAGGCUGGCCAGCCACUGGGCUUUGAAAGCGAGGCUGUCUGGGCCCUUUCUCUUCCCUGGCAUCUUGGCCGGGCCUCCCACGGGCCCCUGCCCGACGUCUCCCGCCCCUGGGCCCAAACCUGGCAAAGAGGCCACACUGGGCUGGCAGCUUCAGAAGGGACUCUGUGCACAAUCCCAGCCUGUUGGCCUGACCACCGCGCAGGGAAGCCGGAGUGCGGGGAAGCCGUUCCAGGCCACUGAGAGGCCUGCCUGGCCGAGGUGUUACCCCUCUGCUGGGCGUGGGAAGACACUGACAUACUGAGGGAACAGGUCCCUCCCUGCCUGCCCAGAGGCUGCCUCGCUCAGCGGGGCCCAGUGAGGGGAACUGGGGUCCGGGGAAGGGGUGUAUGACCCUGAUGAGGCCACCAGCCUCUUCCUAUUUCACCUGCGUGGCCUCUGGGCAGCAACUCCAGGCCAACCCUGCAGGAAGCCCACCAGAGCCUUCUCUCUCCUCUGAGUAGCAGCUCCCAGUGGAGUGCUGGCCCAGGAGGCCAAGUGAGGGGACACUGGCUCCCCAGGCCUGGAACAGCCUCUGAAGCUCCCAUGUGAGUGUCCUGCCUCGCUCGGAAGCCUGGGACAGGGUGCCCCCAUAUCUGGGGCCUGGGCCUGGCAUGGAGCUGCUGAACAGGGUUUCCUGGGCCAAUCUGGAGCCGGAUCAGACGAGGAAUUCCACAGCCGGCGGAGCGGAGCCAGGCUUAAUGCUGAGCAAACCGCCUCCCUCCCUCCCGCAGCCCCUCCACAGCCCGCCCUCGCCCAGGGCUGCCACAGCCAGAGCCCAAUUAUGGCCUCUGACCAGCCCCUGGCUCCUGAGGGGGCGCAGCUGAUGCUCACUGGGCCCAGGGCGCCUCCAGUCCCGCCUGGACGGUGAGUGGCUGGCGGCCUGCUGCCCUCCUGCUAGGAGGGGCAGCAGCUGGACCCCUGGGGGACUCACUGUCCCCCGGAAGGCUGCUCUCUGGCCCUCCCUCCAGCAGCUGCCCAUCAUCUGGCCCUACACCAUUUCCCUGCCCAGUCCCUAGGGCUGGACUAAGGCUGGUGUCCCUGUCCUGUGUCAGUCCACGGACUCCUGGCUUCACCUUCCCCUGCUCAAUCGCACUAGCAGGUUCCUGGAGCACCCUGCCUGUAACCACCUUGCAGCUCUGAGUGCAGGGCUGGGGUGUAGCUCGCUGGGUGUCAAGGAGGAACAGGGCAGGGCUGCCUCAGGAGGAGGGGGCUGCAGGGAGGGCAACCUGGACAUGGUGGACAGGUUCUGGGGUCCCCCCUUUGAUUCAUAACAGAAGGGGUAGUUGCCCACCCUGCUGAGCUCUGGGGAGGCUCCUGGUGCACAGGUGGGCUGGCGGCAUCACCCCCACCCCAGUUCUGCUACAUGGCCCACUCUCUGCCCUUCACACCUUUUCCCUUCCCCAGGACACCAUUCCUACCACAGGGCCUUUCUGCUGCUCCUCCUGGAAUUCUCCACCCCACAGUUUUGCAUGUGGGUUCUAUCUUCAGACCCAGACAAAAAAGCACCCUCCUCCAAGAAGCCCACCUUGUCCAGCCCCAUGUGCCACACAGCCCAUUUCUCCAUGAUGCUUGUCCCUCACGGCAACCCACUGGUGUGUGCACGUGCCUGUCUGUCUCUGGCUUCUGGAGGGUACAGGUCGUGAGCUCCAGCAGGACCCUGCCUAGCGCGGGGCCUGAGACCUGGGAGGUACGUACUUGGGGCGUGAGUCAGAGAACAAGUGAUCUUCAGAAUCCCUGCUGAAGCUGAAAGCAGAGAACUGGCCUCGGGUUACACGAUCCCACCACAUCUGGUGCCCAAUUCUUCUCACUGAAUUAACCAGCUGUUUCGGAGUCAUGCAUAACCCGGCUGAUUACGUUCACUUUUGAAGGUUGAUUUGAGUUAAAGGAAGAGAACUGAGCUCAGUACCAGACCAUGCACCCAGAGGGUGGGGAGGGGAAAGAUCAGCUUCACCACUGCCCCGAACAAAGCUGUGUCCCACGAA